rnacentral:other from 1 species
AGUUCCCUUGAACAUUUGCCAAUCAAAAGUGUUCUUGAGCCGAUAUCUAUAUCACCGGAGGCAACUCGACAGAUGUUGUUGUGCACGUCCGCACGUCGGAAAGCCUUAUGCAUCGCGGGAGCCACCACCUGGACCUUUGGGUUCAGGGCAUAUUUGGUAGCGGUGUUCCGGGGGACCA